rnacentral:tRNA from 1 species
CCCACGCUAGCUCAGCCUGGUAGAGCUUCCGGCUGUAGUGGUUGGCCAUCGGCUAACCGUCAUUCAGCCUAUCAGGCUUACAGAAACCGGGUUGUCGCAGGUUCAAAUCCUGCGCGUGGGACCA